GAUGAAGAACGCAGCGAAAUGCGAUAAGUAAUGUGAAUUGCAGAAUUCAGUGAAUCAUCGAAUCUUUGAACGCACAUUGCGCCCGCCAGUAUUCUGGCGGGCAUGCCUGUUCGAGCGUCAUUUCAACCCUCAAGACCCCUUCGGGGGACUUGGUGUUGGGGACCGGCACAGGGGCCUGCCUGCUUGUCUUGCAGCGCCCUCGCCGCCCCCGAAAUGAAUUGGCGGCCUCGUCGCGGCCUCCCCUGCGUAGUAGCACAACCUCGCAACGGGAACGUGACGGCGGCCACUGCCGUAAACAACCCCAAUUUUAUUAGAGUUGACCUCGAAUCAGGUAGGAAUACCCGCUGAACUUAAGCAUAUCAAUAAGCGGAGGA
rnacentral:misc_RNA from 1 species